rnacentral:rRNA from 1 species
GACGAACGCUGGCGGCGUGCUUAACACAUGCAAGUCGAACGGAAAGGCCCUGCUUUUGUGGGGUGCUCGAGUGGCGAACGGGUGAGUAACACGUGAGUAACCUGCCCUUGACUUUGGGAUAACUUCAGGAAACUGGGGCUAAUACCGGAUAGGAGAUCCUGCUGCAUGGUGGGGGUUGGAAAGAUUCGGCGGUUGGAGAUGGACUGGCGGCUUAUCAGCUUGUUGGUGGGGUAGUGGCUUACCAAGGCUUUGACGGGUAGCCGGCCUGAGAGGGUUACCGGCCACCUUGGGACUGAGAGAGGGCCCAGAAGGCUACGGGAGGCAGCAGUGGGGAAUAUUGCGCAGUGGGCGGGAGCCUGAUGCGGCGACGCCGCGUGCGGGAUGACGGGCUUUGGGUUGUGAACCACUUUCGCCUGUGACGAGGCGGGAGUGACGGUAAUGGGUAAAGAAGCACCGGCUAACUACGUG